rnacentral:rRNA from 1 species
CACUAGGUAACCUGCCCAUGUGUCCGGGAUAACUGCUGGAAACGGUAGCUAAAACCGGAUAGGUAUACAGAGCGCAUGCUCAGUAUAUUAAAGCGCCCAUCAAGGCGUGAACAUGGAUGGACCUGCGGCGCAUUAGCUAGUUGGUGAGGUAACGGCCCACCAAGGCGAUGAUGCGUAGCCGGCCUGAGAGGGUAAACGGCCACAUUGGGACUGAGACACGGCCCAA